rnacentral:rRNA from 1 species
UGCAUCGCUAGGUGAGGAGCGGAGGGUCAUUAAAGAGUUAAAAACAACUCCUAAACCCAUGUGAAACCUACCUUUGUUGCCUCGGCAGGUCUGCAACUUACCCUGAGGGUACCUACCCUGUAGGUACCUUACCCGGUAGUUGCGGGCAUAACCUGCCGGUGGUCUACUAAACUCUGUUUACUAUGUCAUUCUGAAUAAUAUAACUAAAUAAGUUAAAACUUUCAACAACGGAUCUCUUGGUUCUGGCAUCGAUGAAGAACGCAGCGAAAUGCGAUAAGUAAUGUGAAUUGCAGAAUUCAGUGAAUCAUCGAAUCUUUGAACGCACAUUGCGCCCAUUAGUAUUCUAGUGGGCAUGCCUGUUCGAGCGUCAUUUCAACCCUUAAGCCCUGUUGCUUAGCGUUGGGAGCCUACAGAUACCCUCUGUAGUUCCUUAAAGUUAGUGGCGGAGUCGGUUUCACACUCUAGACGUAGUAAAUUUUAUCUCGCCUAUAGAUGAGCCGGUCCCUUGCCGUAAAACCCCCUAAUUUCUAAAGGUUGACCUCGGAUCAGGUAGGAAUACCCGCUGAACUUAAGCAUAUCAA